GGCUCAAAACAUGGCUCAAAACCUGUGGCUCAAAAGAAUGAUGUCUGCUGAUGAAACUGACGCCUUUGGAAUGGUUAAGAAGGAACCUAAAACGCCCAUUAAGGGCGUCUUGGACAAACAGCCAGCUCCGAAGAUCAAGACAGAGAAGGGAUGUUUGAAAAAUGUCAGUGGGCCGGCAAACUCAGCAAAAGGUGAUCAGAAGACGGGUAACUCUAAACCAUCCCACAAGCCACCUAAGAAACGACAGAAAAUGACGGCUCGACCAGUCCCCAUUGCUCCCGCGGGGCAAGGCUGUAUCAAACCACCGCUAGUCAGUAAUGUGGUCUACACGAGCGAGCGCGUAAAGCGAUGCAGUUUUCCAGGCUGUAACUACGCAUCGAUGUUCAAGAAGGAGAUCAGGCAGCACGAGACCCAGGCGCAUCCAGAGAGUCGUAAAUGCAGUUUCUGCGAUCAUUUGGCACCGUCACAGAAGGAGCUGGUCAUUCACGUACACCGAUAUCACGCCAAGAAAAACGACCUGAGCUGUGACCAGUGCGGCUACCGCGGCGUUAAUGCAGCCCGUCUGCUCACACACCAGAGACUUGCCCACAACUUCCUGGCAACGCAGGACGUUAAACAUCUCGUGUGCCAUGAAGAGGACGCCGCCGGAGUCAGAUGCACCGCUAGGUUCGGCUUUCUGUCGCAGCUCAGAUGUCAUCUGACCGAACAGCACGGCAUCAGGCCUGCGGCAAUCAAACUCACCACCGGCUUCAAGACGGUCGAAGAGUUCAUGACGUGGAAGGCAGCCUACGAGCGGGAGAGCCAAACCCGCUACCGCCUGGUGGCCCGUCCGCUGCGAUGGGACCGGCCGGCCACCUAUGUGUGCUGCCGCUCCGGUCGGGGCUCCGAGGCCGCCUCCCGACUCCACCUCUACGAGAACCGGGGCUUCCGCUGCACGUCGACACUGCGCGCGACCGAGUCGUCAGCGGGUCGAGUGAGGAUCACCCUGUAUCCGUAUCAUUACGGACACGAUAGAGAGUGUCCCGAGAGUGAUAGUGAGGAUGAAGCGGCGGUGACUGAGACUGUGACGGAGACUGAGGACACGGCAGAGGUAGAGACUGAGAGUGACGGGUCAGAGGAGUGUGAUGACGUCGGAGGGGUUGGGAUGUCCAGGCCAAAUAUGGAUAUGGAUGUUUGUGAUGACGAUAUCGAUGGGAACGCGUCGGGUGAAGCGGAGGAGCCGGGUAGUCAGAAUGAGCCAAGUGGGAGGGUAUGUCGGCUGUUGGAGGUUAAGAACGAAUGUGACGGUGGUGAAAGGGAAGAAGAUGGAACUGCGGACGAGGAAGGGAUGGAGGGAGAUGAAACUCUGGAUGGGGAAGAGUUGGAAGAAGAUGGAAGUGCGAAUGGAGCUGCAGAAGGAGACGGGGCUGUGCAAGAGGAAGACGAAGAAGCUGGAUGUGCGGAUGAAGAUGCAGUAGGAGAAGAUGGAGCCGAGUAUGUUUUAUUGAAAAACGGAGCCGCGGCAGCUGCCGGCGCAGGCCGGAGGGCAGCUACCCGCAAAAGACCUCUUCAAGGGGAGGUUGCCAUAGUGCUGACGCCCAAGAAACCAAAGACGGCUCUGGCUGACCCCUCUCCGAGUCAGGAGAGUGGUCGGGGGACCGGUAGGGGCUCCCGCAGCAGCCCCCGUGUGACACGAGCGGUCGGCCGACCGGUACGUGUGGUCAGGCGGCCCGCCCGGCUUCAGUGAUAGGGGGAGGGUACACAGUAAUUUACGCUGCCUUAGCUGGAGUUGGAGUGUCCUUUCGACCUGUAACGUACCAUUCAGGGGCAGAUCGCUGCAAGCCUGAUGGGGAUCAUGGAACUCGUAGUCUCAUCAGACACGAAACAUUUGUGGAGCGGGCACAGGUUUCGAAAUGCAUUCUUUGUUUCAACAUUAAGUUCUUACUUAAUUCUGGGCGCUUUACAAUCCCAACACUCUGACUAUUUAAUUACGAGGCGGGAUGGGCGUGUCUCGGUGGGGUGGCGUCGGCAACGGGGCUCUCUGGACAACCUCUAAUGCGCGACGCGUUCGGCUUGGUGGCGGCGACUGGCGAUUUAGUUUGUUUGAAUCCAUUUUAAGUUCUUGUAUAUGUGUGUAUGUGUUUAUUUGCUUGUAUGUUCUUACUUAUCUUGAUUUUGUGUAUUCUUUUGUUUCUUAAUAAACGUGAUGAUGAUGAUGAUGAUUAAAAACCUAAAUUGAGAACGGCAUUCAUCAUGUCGGUGCUGAUUUCGGCAGAACCAUUUCAGCGAGGCAGUCGUUGAGAAACUUGUAUCUGUUUAGAUUACUUGCUAUCUUUUUCCUUAUGUUGAAUUAUUUCAUUACGUUAACGCUGCCAUCGUUGCGAAUAGACGUUUGUAAAUAAUCAGACAUGAUUGAGUUUUAUUCACGAUCGAUGGCAACACAAGUCAAAUUCCUAAAACCAGACGUUUCGGCCACAGGGUGCCUUCGUCAGUGGACACUAGUGAUUAAAUUAAAAACACAUAGUAUCAAAAACAAUCGGUAUAAAUCGUUCGAAGUCGACACAUCGGGCACAGGUUUCGAAAUGCAUUCUUUGAACGACUGCCUCGCUGAAAUGGUUCUGCCGAAAUCAGCACUGACAUGAUGAAUGCCGCUCUCAAUUUAGGUUUUUAAUGUUGAACCAAAGAAUGCAUUGAUGGAGCAUUUGAAUCGUAACAAUGGUGGAGUUACCGCUACAGUGGAUUUGUACACAUAGCACAGUGACGCACACGUGACUGUACGUAAGUUACGGUAUGCUAGCGUUCGAGAUAUCAGUCUCAAAUAUGAACUUUGGAAUGGGUAUUGUUUUUGGAAAUACGAGUAUAUUUUCUAAUUGAAGGAGGUCCCACAGAUUCCCUCGACAUGAGCCUCGUGAAUUUAAGGUGUUCCGUUGCCAUUCUGUUUUGUAUAAUAGAUGCAGGGUGUAGAAUGUAUAGUGUGUAGCUUCCGUAGAGUUUUGAAAUGGUCUCAUCAUCGCCUCAGUCAUUAUACAUUAUAUUGUUGCAUUGCGAUGGCCUUUCAAUGCGUUAUAAAUGCAUUCGUGUUAGUGAAUAUUUUGAUCAACUUUGUGAUGCGUGAACUCAGCAUUGUAUAGCAAUUGGCUGGUUUGUUUAUGCGUAAUAUAUGCGUAUUUUUAACCAUUG
rnacentral:misc_RNA from 1 species